rnacentral:rRNA from 1 species
UUGCCCUACGGGACGCAGCAGUGGGGGAUAUUGCACAGUGGGGGAAACCCUGAUGCAGCGACGCCGCGUGGGCGAAGAAGUAUUUCGGUAUGUAAAGCCCUAUCAGCAGGGAAGAAGAAAUGACGGUACCUGACUAAGAAGCCCCGGCUAACUACGUGCCAGCAGCCGCGGUAAUACGUAGGGGGCAAGCGUUAUCCGGAUUUACUGGGUGUAAAGGGAGCGUAGACGGUCCUGCAAGCCAGAUGUGAAAGCCCGGGGCUCAACCCCGGGACUGCAUUUGGAACUGUAAGGCUAGAGUGUCGGAG